CAAAUACUCCCUCCGUCCGGAAAUACUUGUCAUCAAAAUGGAUAAAAGGAAAUGUAUCUAGACGUAUUUUAGUUUUAGAUACAUCUCUUUUUAUCCAUUUUGAUGACAAGUAU
rnacentral:pre_miRNA from 1 species